rnacentral:lncRNA from 10 species
CUCAGAGAGUUGGCGCUCUCAUCCUCCUCCUUCACACGGAACUGGCCAAGCUUGGUCACUGUCACCUUCUAAGGUCCCGCAAGAUGUGAGCGACCCUUAUCUAAAUUCUCCCAUGGAGUCUUCCAUAUCUGGCAAUACAGCGGGCUACAUGUCCUAAGGAACUUUCCCGGCAGAGAAUAUUCAGUAAACUGGCACAAUAUUCAAACACCUUUUGGAAAUGCACAGGUGAGUCAGCGGAAAGGCAAGGGGAAUUACUAGAGGCUGGAAAUGAGAAAACAGAAUCCAGAGAGUCAGGCGAGCUGCACUAAGUAUUAAGUGAUUGUUUCUCAGCUCAAACCUACCCUCUACAACUCAUCUCUGUGAUCUGGGCCCGCACUUGGCAAACCACCUUUCUGCUUCCCUAGCUGAUCGUGACCAGGCUCUGCCAAUAGGGGGGGCAAGAGAGAGAGUUUGCAAGGCUGCAGGAGGGAGGAAGGACCAGCUUCUCGUGCAUUGCAGAUCCUGUGAGCAUCACCCCCAGUUAAGCUUCUGCUGCUGCAGUGGUUCCUGCCUGCAGCAGCA